CUGAAGUUCGCUCCUAGAAAAAUCUGCUUAUGUCCCCAAGAGCUCUGGAGAGGAUCUUGGCGUAGAGAGGCUGUUGUGCCUACUGAGAGGGUGGGAGCCAGGGUUAUACCGGCUCCUUGGCGCGUUUUCUCUAAGCUGGACGAGGCUGCGUGUGGACCUCCGAACCGUGGCCUGAGACGAGGCGACCUUGCGCGGGCGGGAGGAGCCUGGAGGUGGGACCCUGAAGGCGCGCCUCGCCGGCAAAGGCAACCCGCGCGGAGCGCGCACGGCCACUGAGCGCCGGCGCCUCCAGCAUGGAGUGGGAGCUCAACUUUCUGCUCUACCUGGCGCUCUUCUUCUUUCUGCUCUUCUUACUUUUCCUCCUGCUCUUCGUGGUCAUCAAACAGCUGAAGAACUCGGUGGCCAAUACGGCCGGGGCGCUCCAGCCCGGGCGCCUCUCCCUGCACCGGGAGCCUUGGGGCUUCUCCCGCGAGCAAGCGGUGUGACGGGCGCCGCGCGGACACUGGCGGGAGGGCAUGGAACUGUGCGGGCACCGGGCUGGGGCUCGGCCUCGAUUCUCUGGCCGCACGGCCUCCCGGGUUCUAGGGCCAGGCUCGGCUGCCUCGCUGGCAGGUUCUGGAGCGGAGCUGCUGCCCUGGGCUGGUGUGUGGAGGACGGUGGAGUUACGGGCCGGUAACCAGGCGGGAGUAACCAGAGACAGACGACUUCUGCGAUGUAAUGCCACUGGUGUCCAAAGGUUUAAACCACCCCUGACUCUUCUAGACAGGAGACUGGAGAACUCAGGGUUCCAAGGUGGUUGUUUCGGUUCCCAGCAAGAAGAUGGAGGAAGCCCAAGAGGAAAACAGGGCAUGCCAGUGUGAGGCUACCUCUUCUUAAAGAGCUUUCUCAGCAGUCCAACAGCUUUUGCUCACAUCACAUUGGCCAAAUGGUGUCAUUGGCCCCUGCUAUCUCUAAAGUUGCCUGAGAAAUGUAGUUUUGUAGGUGGACAUGUAACUACCUUCAACAAAAAUCUGAGUUCUCUUCAUAAGGAAGAAGGUAACAGUGUAUCUUGGGUGAACAACUUGUAGUCUGUGCCCCAAAUACAAAAUACAGCGGUAAAGAAGCAUAACGCUCAAGACGGUUCAAAACAGCAGCUCCUUCACAACAGGCAGCACGCCAAGCAGACUGCUGUGAUCUGAGGGUGACUAGAGUGAAGACAGGCCAGGUUUUCUCAUGAAACACUUACCAGGACUGACUGCUCUCUCAGCCGAUAUACCUGUCCCCAUCAGGCUUCUCUAGACGAGGACCCUGUGAACCCUUGGACUUUAUCGGAGGAUGUGCUUGCUUCUUGGAGGCUUGAAACGAGAUGAGGAAUGUUUUACCUUGCUGCUUCCACAUCUGCAUUGUUUAUCUUUUCUCUCAUUUUCCUAAAAAAAAAUUUGGUGCAGUCUAGUUGUGUAUUUGAUCCCCAUAAAAGGAUCAUUCUUUUCUUGUACAGGGGAGGGUAAUCUAUGUAAAGAAAGGCUACUUUACUCCCUUCUGUGUCUCCACCACCUCAUCUAGGAAUAUCAUGGAAGAAUUGCUUCUCAGAGCUGCCUCCAUAAACAGCCUACAUCCUGGCUAAGCAAAGAGAGAAGAAACACUUCCCACAUCCAGGGCUGUCCAAAAGAACUUUCUGUGAUGACAGAAAUGUUCCAUAUCUGCAGUGUCUAACACAGUAGCCACUAGCCACAUGGCUAGUGAACAAUUGAAAUGUUGCUACUGUGAUUGAGGAAGUAAAUUUUAAUGUUAUUUAAUUUUAAAUACUUUAAAUGUAAAUAGCCACAUGUGGCUAGUGACUAGUGUUGUAGACCAACCUUUCUCUUUCUUGUGUUUUACACCUUGCUGGGUGUGUAUGUGGGUGGGGGGGGUGUUGAAUAAGUUGUAUGCUUGACAUUCCAUGGUCUUUACUAUUCCACCUUGCCAUCGAACUUGUCUCCCAGAGGAAAGGGAAAAAUGGUAUUUUGGAACUAAAUUCAGAUGUUAACUUGACAUUUACACAUUGAACAUAUGUAUUUGUAUGUGUUUUUGUGUGAAUAGAAUGGUUUCCUGGGAAUAGGUCCUGGGGUUGAUUUCAGUGAUAACUGAGGAUGGGAAAGUGGUGGUGCUGGUCACUUGACUUUCCUAGUGAACAUUAUGUGUUCCUUGUCAUAGUCAGUAGAGCUUCUGUUGUGCAGUUCAUUCUGUUACUUUAUUUUUGUACUAUUGUGGCUGCUAAAUGAUUAUUCCAUGUCUGUUUUUCAAAAUACUUUGUGAUUUAUAUUUUUUAAAAGGCUAUGAAAUAAAACAUAGUAGCUCA